AGAAGGGUGGCCUUCUGGUUAAGGCACUGGACAGGGACUCAGGAGAUCUGGGGUCAAUUCCCUGCUCUGCUG
rnacentral:tRNA from 1 species